rnacentral:rRNA from 1 species
UAGCCAGUAAGGGAAUCUUCGGCAAUGGGCGAAAGCCUGACCGAGCAACGCNGCGUGAAGGAAGAAGGAAUUCGUUCUGUAAACUUCUGUCAUAGAGGAAGAAUGGUAUCGCCAGGGAAUGGGUGAUAUGUGACGGUACUCUAUAAGAAAGCCACGGCUAACUACGUGCCAGCAGCCGCGGUAAUACGUAGGUGGCGAGCGUUAUCCGGAAUUAUUGGGCGUAAAGAGGGAGCAGGCGGCACUAAGGGUCUGUGGUGAAAGCCCGAAGCUUAACUUCGGCGAGCCAUGGAAACCGUAGAGCUAGAGUGUGUGAGAGGAUCGU